rnacentral:rRNA from 1 species
CCUACGGGAGGCUGCAGUGGGGAAUAUUGGACAAUGGGCGAAAGCCUGAUCCAGCCAUGCCGCGUGUGUGAAGAAGGCCUUCGGGUUGUAAAGCACUUUCAGUGGGGAAGAAAGCCUUGGGGCUAAUACCCUCGAGGAAGGACAUCACCCACAGAAGAAGCACCGGCUAACUCCGUGCCAGCAGCCGCGGUAAUACGGAGGGUGCGAGCGUUAAUCGGAAUUACUGGGCGUAAAGCGCGCGUAGGCGGUCUGAUAAGCCGGUUGUGAAAGCCCCGGGCUCAACCUGGGAACGGCAUCCGGAACUGUCAGGCUAGAGUGCAGGAGAGGAAGGUAGAAUUCCCGGUGUAGCGGUGAAAUGCGUAGAGAUCGGGAGGAAUACCAGUGGCGAAGGCGGCCUUCUGGACUGACACUGACGCUGAGGUGCAAAAGCGUGGGUAGCAAACAGGAUUAGAUACCCGAGUAGUC